rnacentral:rRNA from 1 species
GACGAACGCUGGCGGCAGGCCUAACACAUGCAAGUCGAACGAAGUCUUCGGACUUAGUGGCGGACGGGUGAGUAACGCGUGGGAACGUGCCCUUUGGUACGGAAUAGCCUCUGGAAACGGAGAGUAAUACCGUAUGAGCCCCUUCGGGGGAAAGAUUUAUCGCCAAAGGAUCGGCCCGCGUUAGAUUAGGUAGUUGGUGGGGUAAGUGGCCUACCAAGCCUACGAUCUAUAGCUGGUUUUAGAGGAUGAUCAGCAACACUGGGACUGAGACACGGCCCAGACUCCUACGGGAGGCAGCAGUGGGGAAUCUUGGACAAUGGGGGCAACCCUGAUCCAGCCAUGCC